rnacentral:lncRNA from 1 species
GUUUAAACAAGAUUUUUAUAAAAAAAAUAAUAAUAGUAAAAUACCCCCCAUGGCUGAUUUCAAAAUUGCCCCCUUUCAAUGCCACCAUUAUCUAACUUGUUGUGUUGGAACUAGGAGAGCAUGAUUAGGGUAGAUCUAAUCCAAGUAAACCUUCCAACACUCCACCUUCUCUUCUAUAAUUCCUAAAACCAUUAAACAAUUCUCUUCCAAAAUCAGCUAGACCAAACAUCACCUACAUCACCUUCAUUUCAAUAUUCAAACUCAAGAACACAUGCUCAUAUGGAUGUUUAUGGAUGAAACAAGAUACUAGGGAGAUUAGUAAAGCUAUUUGGAGCAUUUUGGUGGA